AACUAAAACUCAAAAAUGAAGGGUAUACCUGUGAAGUAUUUUUGCUUAAUUUGAAAUAGAAAGAUCCACUUCUAAUAUAGAUCAUUAAGGUAGGAGGAUAUAACUUUAAUCCAGAUUUGAACUGGGAAAACAUGCUGUUAAUCUGGAUCUUGAGUUAAGAAGACACACAUUUUAUCCAGAUUAUUUGAGCUAAUCUGGGCCCUAUCUUCUGCUGGAAGCCUAUAUAAGGACAUGAAAGAAGGAAGCUUUUGUUCUUUGUCUGCUUGCUCUUACCUCACUAACAAGUCCAUUCCUUUGCUGGUAUUCAGAAUUUCAGCAUAUGCUGAAGACCAUACCAUCUGAGACAUCCAGCCUCAUGGACUAAGCAACUAUCAGAUUCUCGAACCUUCUAUUCACAGCUAGCCAUUUUUGGAUUAUCUGGACCGCAGCCUAUUUGGACCACUUUCAUUUACCUGAAGAGAAUAUCUUCUGAUCCUCGAAGAGCCUGUUAAGUCUGCAGACUUCAACAGAAUCAGAGAAUCUCGACAGAACAGAAUUACCAACAAGAGAGCCCAGGGAUAGCAUUAACAUGUUGGUUACUAAAGAUCUAACUCAGCCAUGGAGACAUGCCAAGGCCUAUGAGGUGAGGGGAAAAGAAGGGUGACCCAGGGGGUAGGAAUUUUUUAUUCUGAACUUCUGAGCUUUAUAGAAAAACAUACUUUGCUGUGCAUGUUUUUCAACCCUGAUAUGGUUUUCACAACUAUUUGAAGUUACAGUCCUAGCUGUAGUAGGCUCUACAUGAAGGUAUAUCCAAAUCUUUUAACAGAACACUUUAUUAUUUUAAAUGUAUGGGUAUUUCACCUGUGUACCAUAGGCACACAGUGCCCACAGAGACCAGAAGAGGGCAUCAGAUCUCCUGAGACUGGAGUUACUGCUUGUGAGCUGCCAUGUGGAUGCUGGAAAUCACACCCAUGUCCUUUGGAAGUUAGGCAGAUUUUCUUAAUCAUUUCUCUAACCCCUACCCCAUCCCUUUAAUUUUGCUUUUAAAUUUUGAAAUAGGGUCUUGCUAAGUUACUGGGACUGGCCUUGGACUAGUAACCAAUUUGCGUCAGCCUUCUGGGACUAUAGGUAUAUGCCAGCAUGUCUACCAUUUUUCUAUUUCUUUAGUUUU